rnacentral:rRNA from 1 species
CGGUCCUAAGGUAGCGAAAUUCCUUGUCGGGUAAGUUCCGACCUGCACGAAUGGCGUAACGACUUCCCCACUGUCUCGACCAGGAGCUCGGCGAAAUUGCAGUACGAGUAAAGAUGCUCGUUAAGCGCAGAAGGACGAAAAGACCCCGGGACCUUUACUAUACCUUGGUAUUGGCAUUAGGCGCGGAUUGUGUAGCAUAGGCGGGAGGCUUCGAAGCGGGUGCGCCAGCAUUCGUGGAGCCGCAAGGUGAAAUACCGCUCUGUUCUCGUUUGAUGUCUAACCUCGAACAGUCAUCCUGUUCAGGGACAGUGCCUGGCGGGUAGUUCAACUGGGGCGGUUGCCUCCCAAAGAGUAACGGAGGCGCUCAAAGGUCCGCUCGGCCCGGUUGGCAAUCGGGUGUCGAGUGUAAUCGCACAAGCGGGCUUGACUGCGAGAUCGACGGAUCGAGCAGGGACGAAAGUCGGAGAUAGUGAUCCGGUGCCGGCGCACGGGCGCGGCAUCGCUCAACGGAUAAAAGGUACCCCGGGGAUAACAGGCUGAUCAUUCCCAAGAGUCCAUAUCGACGGGAUGGUUUGGCACCUCGAUGUCGGCUCGUCGCAUCCUGGGGCUGGAGCAGGUCCCAAGGGUUCGGCUGUUCGCCGAUCAAAGCGGCACGCGAGCUGGGUUCAGAACGUCGUGAGACAGUUUGGUCUCUAUCCUCUGCGCUCGUUGGAAUCCUGAGGAGGCCUGCCCAUAGUACGAGAGGACCUGGGUGGACGAACCUCUGGUAUGCCGGUCGUCACGCCAGUGGCGCGGCCGGUUGGCUACGUUCGGAAGGGAUAACCGCUGAAAGCAUCUAAGCGGGAAGCCUUCUCCAAGAUAAGGAUUCCAUGCGGCCCCGAGCCGCUGAAGACCCCAUGCAGAACACGUGGUCGAUAGGCCGGACGUGGAAGCCCCGCGAGGGGUGGAGCCGACCGGUACUAAUGGUCGAGAGGCAACCCAC